rnacentral:rRNA from 1 species
AGUGAACGCUGGCGGCAGGCCUAACACAUGCAAGUCGAACGGCAGCACAGUAAGAGUUUGCUCUUACGGGUGGCGAGUGGCGGGCGGGUGAGAAAUACAUCGGAAUCUACUUUUUCGUGGGGGAUAACGUAGGAACACUUACGCUAAUACCUCAUACUACCUACGGGUGAAAGCAGGGGAUCUUGGGACCUUGCGCGAUUGAAUGAGCCGAUGUCGGAUUAGCUUGUUGGCGGGGUAAAGGCACACCAAGGCGACGAUCCGUAGCUGGUCUGAGAGGAUGAUCAGCCACACUGGAACUGAGACACGGUCCAGACUCCUACGGGAGGCAGCAGUGGGGAAUAUUGGACAAUGGGCGCAAGCCUGAUCCAGCCAUACCGCGUGGGUGAAGAAGGCCUUCGGGUUGUAAAGCCCUUUUGUUGGGAAAGAAAAGCAGCAGGUUAAUACCACGCUGUUCUGACGGUACCCAAAGAAUAAGCACCGGCUAACUUCGUG